rnacentral:rRNA from 1 species
GGACCCGCACAAGCGGUGGAUGAUGUGGUUUAAUUCGAUGCAACGCGAAAAACCUUACCCACCUUUGACAUGUACGGAAUUUGCCAGAGAUGGCUUAGUGCUCGAAAGAGAACCGUAACACAGGUGCUGCAUGGCUGUCGUCAGCUCGUGUCGUGAGAUGUUGGGUUAAGUCCCGCAACGAGCGCAACCCUUGUCAUUAGUUGCUACAUUUAGUUGGGCACUCUAAUGAGACUGCCGGUGACAAACCGGAGGAAGGUGGGGAUGACGUCAAGUCCUCAUGGCCCUUAUAGGUGGGGCUACACACGUCAUACAAUGGCUGGUACAAAGGGUUGCCAACCCGCGAGGGGGAGCUAAUCCCAUAAAACCAGUCGUAGUCCGGAUCGCAGUCUGCAACUCGACUGCGUGAAGUCGGAAUCGCUAGUAAUCGUGGAUCAGAAUGUCACGGUGAAUACGUUCCCGGGUCUU